CGUAGCUCAGCUGGUAGAGCAAAUGACUCUUAAUCAUUGGGUCGAGGGUUCGAUCCCCUCCGGG
rnacentral:tRNA from 1 species